GAUUAAGUUAUUAAGGGCGCACGGUGGAUGCCUUGGCACUAGAAGCCGAUGAAGGACGUUACUAACGACGAUAUGCUUUGGGGAGCUGUAAGUAAGCUUUGAUCCAGAGAUUUCCGAAUGGGGAAACCCAGCAUGAGUUAUGUCAUGUUAUCGAUAUGUGAAUACAUAGCAUAUCAGAAGGCACACCCGGAGAACUGAAACAUCUUAGUACCCGGAGGAAGAAAAAGAAAAUUCGAUUCCCUUAGUAGCGGCGAGCGAAACGGGAAGAGCCCAAACCAACAAGCUUGCUUGUUGGGGUUGUAGGACACUCUAUACGGAGUUACAAAGGACGACAUUAGACGAAUCAUCUGGAAAGAUGAAUCAAAGAAGGUAAUAAUCCUGUAGUCGAAAAUGUUGUCUCUCUUGAGUGGAUCCUGAGUACGACGGAACACGUGAAAUUCCGUCGGAAUCUGGGAGGACCAUCUCCUAAGGCUAAAUACUCUCUAGUGACCGAUAGUGAACCAGUACCGUGAGGGAAAGGUGAAAAGCACCCCGGAAGGGGAGUGAAAUAGAACCUGAAACCGUGUGCUUACAAGUAGUCAGAGCCCGUUAAUGGGUGAUGGCGUGCCUUUUGUAGAAUGAACCGGCGAGUUACGAUUUGAUGCAAGGUUAAGCAGUAAAUGUGGAGCCGUAGCGAAAGCGAGUCUGAAUAGGGCGUUUAGUAUUUGGUCGUAGACCCGAAACCAGGUGAUCUACCCUUGGUCAGGUUGAAGUUCAGGUAACACUGAAUGGAGGACCGAACCGACUUACGUUGAAAAGUGAGCGGAUGAACUGAGGGUAGCGGAGAAAUUCCAAUCGAACCUGGAGAUAGCUGGUUCUCUCCGAAAUAGCUUUAGGGCUAGCCUCAAGUGAUGAUUAUUGGAGGUAGAGCACUGUUUGGACGAGGGGCCCCUCUCGGGUUACCGAAUUCAGACAAACUCCGAAUGCCAAUUAAUUUAACUUGGGAGUCAGAACAUGGGUGAUAAGGUCCGUGUUCGAAAGGGAAACAGCCCAGACCACCAGCUAAGGUCCCAAAAUAUAUGUUAAGUGGAAAAGGAUGUGGCGUUGCCCAGACAACUAGGAUGUUGGCUUAGAAGCAGCCAUCAUUUAAAGAGUGCGUAAUAGCUCACUAGUCGAGUGACACUGCGCCGAAAAUGUACCGGGGCUAAACAUAUUACCGAAGCUGUGGAUUGUCCUUUGGACAAUGGUAGGAGAGCGUUCUAAGGGCGUUGAAGCAUGAUCGUAAGGACAUGUGGAGCGCUUAGAAGUGAGAAUGCCGGUGUGAGUAGCGAAAGACGGGUGAGAAUCCCGUCCACCGAUUGACUAAGGUUUCCAGAGGAAGGCUCGUCCGCUCUGGGUUAGUCGGGUCCUAAGCUGAGGCCGACAGGCGUAGGCGAUGGAUAACAGGUUGAUAUUCCUGUACCACCUAUAAUCGUUUUAAUCGAUGGGGGGACGCAGUAGGAUAGGCGAAGCGUGCGAUUGGAUUGCACGUCUAAGCAGUAAGGCUGAGUAUUAGGCAAAUCCGGUACUCGUUAAGGCUGAGCUGUGAUGGGGAGAAGACAUUGAGUCUUCGAGUCGUUGAUUUCACACUGCCGAGAAAAGCCUCUAGAUAGAAAAUAGGUGCCCGUACCGCAAACCGACACAGGUAGUCAAGAUGAGAAUUCUAAGGUGAGCGAGCGAACUCUCGUUAAGGAACUCGGCAAAAUGACCCCGUAACUUCGGGAGAAGGGGUGCUCUUUAGGGUUAACGCCCAGAAGAGCCGCAGUGAAUAGGCCCAAGCGACUGUUUAUCAAAAACACAGGUCUCUGCUAAACCGUAAGGUGAUGUAUAGGGGCUGACGCCUGCCCGGUGCUGGAAGGUUAAGAGGAGUGGUUAGCUUCUGCGAAGCUACGAAUCGAAGCCCCAGUAAACGGCGGCCGUAACUAUAACGGUCCUAAGGUAGCGAAAUUCCUUGUCGGGUAAGUUCCGACCCGCACGAAAGGCGUAACGAUUUGGGCACUGUCUCAACGAGAGACUCGGUGAAAUCAUAGUACCUGUGAAGAUGCAGGUUACCCGCGACAGGACGGAAAGACCCCGUGGAGCUUUACUGUAGCCUGAUAUUGAAAUUCGGCACAGCUUGUACAGGAUAGGUAGGAGCCUUUGAAACGUGAGCGCUAGCUUACGUGGAGGCGCUGGUGGGAUACUACCCUAGCUGUGUUGGCUUUCUAACCCGCACCACUUAUCGUGGUGGGAGACAGUGUCAGGCGGGCAGUUUGACUGGGGCGGUCGCCUCCUAAAAGGUAACGGAGGCGCUCAAAGGUUCCCUCAGAAUGGUUGGAAAUCAUUCAUAGAGUGUAAAGGCAUAAGGGAGCUUGACUGCGAGACCUACAAGUCGAGCAGGGUCGAAAGACGGACUUAGUGAUCCGGUGGUUCCGCAUGGAAGGGCCAUCGCUCAACGGAUAAAAGCUACCCCGGGGAUAACAGGCUUAUCUCCCCCAAGAGUUCACAUCGACGGGGAGGUUUGGCACCUCGAUGUCGGCUCAUCGCAUCCUGGGGCUGUAGUCGGUCCCAAGGGUUGGGCUGUUCGCCCAUUAAAGCGGUACGCGAGCUGGGUUCAGAACGUCGUGAGACAGUUCGGUCCCUAUCCGUCGUGGGCGUAGGAAAUUUGAGAGGAGCUGUCCUUAGUACGAGAGGACCGGGAUGGACAUACCUCUGGUGUACCAGUUGUCGUGCCAACGGCAUAGCUGGGUAGCUAUGUGUGGACGGGAUAAGUGCUGAAAGCAUCUAAGCAUGAAGCCCCCCUCAAGAUGAGAUUUCCCAACUUCGGUUAUAAGAUCCCUCAAAGAUGAUGAGGUUAAUAGGUUCGAGGUGGAAGCAUGGUGACAUGUGGAGCUGACGAAUACUAAUCGAUCGAAGACUUAAUCAA
rnacentral:rRNA from 3 species